GAUGAACGCUGGCGGCGUGCCUAAUACAUGCAAGUCGAGCGAACAGACGAGGAGCUUGCUCCUCUGACGUUAGCGGCGGACGGGUGAGUAACACGUGGAUAACCUACCUAUAAGACUGGGAUAACUUCGGGAAACCGGAGCUAAUACCGGAUAAUAUAUUGAACCGCAUGGUUCAAUAGUGAAAGACGGUUUUGCUGUCACUUAUAGAUGGAUCCGCGCCGCAUUAGCUAGUUGGUAAGGUAACGGCUUACCAAGGCAACGAUGCGUAGCCGACCUGAGAGGGUGAUCGGCCACACUGGAACGUAGCCACGGUCCUGACGCCUACGGGAGGCCGCAGUAGGGAAUCUUCCGCAAUGGGCGAAAGCCUGACGGAGCAACGCCGCGUGAGUGAUGAAGGUCUUCGGAUCGUAAAACUCUGUUAUUAGGGAAGAACAAAUGUGUAAGUAACUAUGCACGUCUUGACGGUACCUAAUCAGAAAGCCACGGCUAACUACGUG
rnacentral:rRNA from 1 species